GUGGGGAAUAUUGGGCAAUGGGGGAAACCCUGACCCAGCAACGCCGCGUGAAGGAAGAAGGUUUUCGGAUCGUAAACUUCUAUCCUUGGUGAAGAUAAUGACGGUAGCCAAGAAGGAAGCCCCGGCUAACUACGUGCCAGCAGCCGCGGUAAUACGUAGGGGGCAAGCGUUGUCCGGAAUGAUUGGGCGUAAAGGGCGCGUAGGCGGCCUGGUAAGUCUGGAGUGAAAGUCCUGCUUUUAAGGUGGGAAUUGCUUUGGAUACUGUCGGGCUUGAGUGCAGGAGAGGUAAGCGGAAUUCCCGGUGUAGCGGUGACAUGCGUAGAGAUCGGGAGGAACACCAGUGGCGAAGGCGGCUUACUGGACUGUAACUGACGCUGAGGCGCGAAAGUGUGGGGAGCAAACAGGAUUAGAUACCCCAGUAGUCC
rnacentral:rRNA from 1 species